AACGGCCAUACCAUGCUGAAUAUACCGGUUCUCGUUAGAUCACCGAAGUCAAGCAUCAUUGGGCGCGGUCAGUACUUGGGUGGGUGACCACCUGGGAACACCACAUGCCGUU